GAGAAAGAGAAAGAGAAAGAGAAAAAAAAUUAUGGUCUUAAGAGGCAUACAAGUCUGAUAAAAUAGAUUAUUGUCACCUUUGUUAAAGCCUUUAGUGGGCUAUAAUUUUAAAAGUUUUUAACACUACACAAGAUGAAAUGGAGGAGUGUGACUGGUGUAUUAUGCAAUCAUAAGAUCCUUGAUAAAGUGAAAGGCAAGUUCUAUAGA
rnacentral:misc_RNA from 1 species